rnacentral:rRNA from 1 species
CCCUUAGAUGUUCUGGGCCGCACGCGUGCUACACUGAGUGGAUCAGCGGGUCAGGUUGCGCGAAAGCGUUUCCUAAUCUUUAAAUCCGCUCGUGAUGGGGAUUGACGGUUGCAAUUUUCUGUCAUGAGCGAGGAAUACCUUGUAAGCGCGGGUCAUCAUCCCGCGCUGAAUACGUCCCUGCCCUUUGUACACACCGCCCGUCCCUCCUACCGAUUGAGUGGUCCGGUGAGGCUUUGGGAUCUGAGCGGAAAGAGCGUUUCGCUGUUUCUGCUCGGAAAACUCAGUCGAACCUUAUCAUUUAGAGGAAGGAGAAGUCGUAACA